AAGUGUCGUGGGAGCUGUAACCAAUUAUAAUUAGACGAUUUGCUUGUGGGUGUCUUAGGAUAUAAAUCACUGGUCAGUUCAAGCGAGCAUAGUGACAUCAUGCUGUCAUCGGGUGUACUAGUCUUAGCUCUAGCUUUGCUGCUCAAAGCUAUGGAUAUGGGUGGGAAUUUCUAUCCAGCGGUGGUUUAAAUCCAGCUCAUUUCGCCCAGUACCUAUAUAAUGGACCGUAUUCUGGCUCGCCUAAUAAUUGGGCUGGAUAUAAUGCCGAAUAUUCCCGUUUGAGCUACGAUCCACAAAAUGAGGUGUAUGGAGGUGCGGAUGAUGCAGUUCCUGCCUUGCGCAACUUUAGUCCCGACAAUCUAGCAACGGUGAUUGAGCAAAUCGCCCAACUUUUUAGGAGUUAACUCCGAUCACAUAUCACCAAUUUUACUGUACAAAUUGUAAACCUAAAUACACAUAAUUUCUAAUUAGA